CUUGGCUAAAGCAGGCCUGCUCCCUCCGUGACUAAAGCAAGUGUGAGAAACAUGCUAACAAAUGUUUCUGCCAUGAAACGAAAUAAAUACUUCACUCUGACCCACAAAAGAUCUUUGCUAGAUUCAUGUUAGUGUUGUUAGACAAAGAAACUUCAAAACGUGAGGUAUUUUUAUUGGAAUUUGCAGCUGUUGUUGAUCAAAUCAGCCACUGAAAUGAGUGAAGAAGAUUAGGUAAUUACCUUUUACAUAUUCCACCAAAAUUUUCCACCACUUUAAGUUUCUGGCUUCAAAUCAGAAUAUUUAUUCUGAAUUUCCUAUUCCGCACAGUAAACUUUUCUUCUCUCCUGUAGGACUUUGUUUCUGGAGUGUGUGUAGUGUAAACGGAUGAUGUGCUUAUCAUACUUCCCCCAGACCCUCUCUCCCCUAAAGAUGCUACAGUAAUAAAACAAAUCAUUUGUUCAACUUUUAUAGUGCUUUUCAUUACAGACAGAAUCUCAAAGUGCUUGUUAAGCAGAAUAAAAUGCAAUAAGUAAUAUAAAGAGAGAUACAGGGUACAACAGUAGCUAGAUCAGAUCAAGUCUGUUUGAGUGCUUCUUGAAGCCUCCAGUUUACACACGCAGCCCAAUUCUGAUCUUUUACCCAAUUAUUGCCAAAUAGCAGAUCUGAUUGAUCAAUAGACCAAUUAGAGGCAAAAUAAUCAGAUUUGUGCUGCCUGUGUAAAUGCAGCCUUAUAGUGACUAGAGGUACCUUGAAGACUAUUAUGUCAUGUCCUGGGAGGCAGAAAGUCCCACCUGCAUUUGUAGCCCAUAAUUACUAUUGUAAUGUCUGUCCUAUUUUACCUUUAUUCAGAGGCAGGUCAUUUGUUCUAAAAGAACUCUCUGUUGAUGGUGAAGGUCAGUUAAUACCACUGGGACACAUUGUUUAAAGGCAUCAGUCCACAUCCAUUAUAAAGAGAUGACAGAGCAUCAGUGGAUGAAUUUGAGGUUUCAAUGGCUAUUGUAUCAUUUGCAUGGAUCUGCUGCAUGGCUUGAACAGAUUAGGGUUUACCUUUUUUUUUAAAUCAAUUCACAGAGUAAUGUCAAUAUUUAUUUGGCACAACAAGCGACCUAAAAUUAAAUAAGAAACACUCAAACUGCCAAUCAAAAAGUGAGGUUUAAAGACUGGUACAAAGCUGGUACCACGACACAGAAUGAUUUAUUCUAUGAUGGCAC
rnacentral:lncRNA from 1 species